AAAAUUUAUUAUGAGUCAUUUUGUUUGAGGAAUAAUGAGGAAUAACUUUAAGUUCUCUAUUUUUAACGUAGUAAUUUUCAAUUCUUUACAGAAUGAUUGGGAAAAAGUGCUUCGUCAAUUUGGUGAUAAGGACCAAAAGAUCCAGAACCUUGAAGCCUUAUUACAGGAGAGUAAAGAAAAUAUUUCUUUCCUAGAAAAGGAAAGAGAAGAUUUUAUGCAAAAACUCAGGCUGGUGAAGGAGAGACCGCUGUUCUUAAUCAGUUGCAGGAAGAAAACCAUAUAUUACAGGAACAAGUAACUCAACUAAAGGCCCAGGAGAAUUUGCAUGACCAGGUGCAAGAGCAGAAGGCACUUCUUAGAGCUGCACAAGACUGUCCUCUCCCUAGAAGCCAGCAUCAAUGAAUUAAAUAAUCAAUUAAAUGAAAGAAAGGAGAAGGUCUCCCAGCUUGACAUACAGGUAAUAUUGAAUUAUGUGACUUAAUACGAAGUUUGUAUGAAGAAAGCAUGUUUUAGGAUCACAUUUUGAACUGUUUCUCCCCCUCCCUACCCUGUCUCCUGCCUUACUUAUUAAUGGAAAAACAAAUAAGAAUAGGAAUUAAA
rnacentral:lncRNA from 1 species